rnacentral:misc_RNA from 1 species
AUUUAUAUGUCAAUAGUUUAAAUGGCGAGCAAGAUCUACAACCAGGAAGUUAUUUUUCAGUCAGGACUCACAACGAAAGUGGUUACUGUUACACUCGAAAGAUGCCUGACUCCUGUGUGGAUACCUUUAUUAAUUACAGAGAGGAAGGCACGAACAGCUCUGCUGCACCUGUAUCUCAGUACUGGGGUCGAGGGUUCGACUCCCAUCACUUUGACUGUGCCUCUGUUCGUCGGUCUGUCAUCUGACGUCACGGACUACACAUGUGAAACAUUAUUUCAAGGGAACCUUUUCUGUAGAUGUAUCUCAUCAUCACCCUUCUACAUACACUGUGAAAGACCUGUACUCGGGUGUUUUCGACAAUGAACCCUCGAUGCCAUUCAGUCAAGUCAGUCAGACCAGAAGUGUAGCAUUAGAGGACCCGACGUUUUUCAUUCAAAGGGGUCUGCGGAAGUUGUGUCUCUCUGCUACAAAGACAUCUAGUGGACUCAUACAUGCUCCACUGGAAAGUGAAUUCAAUAAAGCUGGCAGGAAAUUUCUACCGCGUAUAUGUCUUGUUUUUCUAAAAGAUACCGAAACAGGAAUUAUUUCUCUAUUUUCAACCAUGGAUUCUGAAUUGACUAUCCCUUUUCAACUUCGGCCUGUGUGUGAUUAUGAAUUGCUGGUAUUAAGAGGAUAUGAGCCAAAGAAAUGCUUGUUUAUUAUUAAUGCUGUGGCUUUUUGUUCAUUUAAAUCAUCUAUUUUGUAGACAUGACACAGAAUGAACUGUAUUUGCUGUAUGGAAAAGCCUGUACCCAUUCAUUAUCUCCCGGACCAGGGCCACCCUAUGACUUUUACCCUGUCACGCACCUGUAUCGUAGUAAACCAAUUCUACAUUUCCUAAACAUAUUUAACAACACUGGCGGUAUCAUGUACAAAUACAUCAAGAAUUUUGGAGGAGACCCAGCAUCAACACUGAACAGGAAGCUUCACGGCCUGUUCUUCAGUGCUAGUUUGGACCCCCUCACUGGCCAGCCCCCGGCUGUAUCUUACUACGGGGACCAGAGAAUCCACAUCCCCGUCGGUUUUAUGAUUAACCAAAGCACGAAUUUGUAUUUCGCAGACUUUUAUUGUCAUUACGUCAACCAUCACGUGACAUUAGUUAUUACAUUGAAAGGAAGCGAAGCUGACGCAUUUUGUCUACCAAGACUCCUGGCCUUAAACCCUGCGUAUAACGAGUUUCUGUACCGCCGUCCACAUGAACAACAUGCCAUGGUGAAUACUAAAGUCACAGUGGAAGUGUUUUAUACUGAAAGCAUAGAUAUAGUCGAAUUUUUACGGUCAAAAUUAGCAUAUUUAAGUUCAGUAAAACAAUCAGGUAAUGCUGCAUUAAAAACAGUUAUUGGUCUUCCGAAAAGAAAAGAUUGUAAAAUUUGCAAUAUUAAGGAGCCUUCAUGAAUUUUUUGUUUUAUUCAUUGAUAUUUUUUAAAGUAAAAAUAGUAUCUGCUCUCAGAAAUGCUAUGUUUUCUUGCAUAAAAGAUUUUCGGAUGUAUUAUAUUGCGAUAUUUAUUUCAGAUGUUAAUAAAACCAUUCGUUUUAAAUUU